GAAACGACUGCUAAGACUGGAUAGGAAAAGUAAAGGCAUCUUUACUUUUUUAAAAGACCUUCUUCGAAGGUAUGCUUGAGGAGGGGCUUGCGACACAUUAGUCAGUUGGCAGGGUAAAGGCCUACCAAGACUAUGAUGUGUAGCUGGACUGAGAGGUUGAACAGCCACAUUGGGACUGAGACACGGCCCAAACUCCUACGGGAGGCAGCAGUAGGGAAUUUUCGGCAAUGGAGGAAACUCUGACCGAGCAACGCCGCGUGAACGAUGAGGUACCUCGGUAUGUAGAGUUCUUUUAUUAAGGAAGAAAAAAGAGCGGAAAAACUCCCUUGACGGUACUUAAUGAAUAAGCCCCGGCUAAUUAUGUGCCAGCAGCCGCGGUAAUACAUAAGGGGCGAGCGUUAUCCGGAAUGAUUGAGCGUAAAGGGUGCGUAGGCGGUUUAAUAAGUCUAUAGUUUAAUUUCAGUGCUUAACGCUGUUGUGCUAUAGAAACUGUCUUACUAGAGUGAGAUAGAGGCAAGCGGAAUUCCAUGUGUAGCGGUAAAAUGCGUAAAUAUAUGGAGGAACACCAGAGGCGUAGGCGGCUUGCUGGGUCUUUACUGACGCUGAGGCACGAAAGCGUGGGGAGCAAACAGGAUUAGAUACCCUGGUAGUCCACGCCGUAAACGAUGAGUACUAAGUGUCGGGUAAAACCGGUACUGAAGUUAACACAUUAAGUACUCCGCCUGAGUAGUACGUACGCAAGUAUGAAACUUAAAGGAAUUGACGGGACUCCGCACAAGCGGUGGAUCAUGUUGUUUAAUUCGAAGAUACACGAAAAACCUUACCAGGUCUUGACAUUUUCUUGCGAAGUUAUAGAAAUAUAAUGGAGGUUAUCAGGAAAACAGGUGGUGCAUGGUUGUCGUCAGCUCGUGUCGUGAGAUGUUAGGUUAAGUCCUAAAACGAGCGCAACCCUUGUCGUUAAUUGCCAGCAUGUAAUGAUGGGGACUUUAACGAGACUGCCAAUGAAAAAUUGGAGGAAGGUGGGGAUUACGUCAAAUCAUCAUGCCCCUUAUGAUCUGGGCUACAAACGUGAUACAAUGGUUGAUACAAAGAGUAGCUGAAAUGCGAGUUUUUAGCCAAUCUCACAAAAUCAAUCUCAGUUCGGAUUGAAGUCUGCAACUCGACUUCAUGAAGUCGGAAUCGCUAGUAAUCGCGAAUCAGCAUGUCGCGGUGAAUACGUUCACGGGGUUUGUACACACCGCCCGUCA
rnacentral:rRNA from 1 species